CCCUUAGAUGUUCUGGGCUGCACGCGCGCUACACUGAAGCGUUCAACGAGUAUUCACCUUGCCCGGGAGGGUUGGGUAAUCUUUUGAAAACGCUUCGUGAUGGGGAUAGAUUAUUGCAAUUAUUAAUCUUCAACGAGGAAUUCCUAGUAAGCGCGAGUCAUCAGCUCGUGCUGAUUACGUCCCUGCCCUUUGUACACACCGCCCGUCGCUCCUACCGAUUGGGUGAUCCGGUGAAUUGCUUGGAACAGCUACGGUGUUCUUUGAACGCUGUGGAGGUGAAGAGUUGUAAACCUUAUCACUUAGAGGAAGGAAAAGUCGUAACA
rnacentral:rRNA from 1 species